UUUUUACUUUCCCCUUUCUCACUCCCCUCUGUAAAAAAAUUUCCACUUUCUCUCUCCAAUAUUGAAGCAGCUCCCGCGCGCAAGGUCGUCGUCCUCACCUCCCUCAACUCCAUUGAAGGAGCUCCAAGCUCAGUUCAAUCUUUUGCUCCUCUCAUUCUCACUCUUCUCCUCCAUUGAAGCGCACUCCGAGUUCUCCAUUAUUGAAGCGCACUCCGAGUUCUCCAUUAUUGAAGCGCACUCCGAGUUCUCCAUUAAAGGGCUUUUUGAGUUCUCCAUUGAAGCGCUAUCUAAGUUCUCCAUUGAAGCGCUCAUAGUUCUCCAUUAAAGCGUUUUAUUUUUUUCCCCAAAUUAUGCUUCUCUGAUUGGUGGGUGGUGUUUGCGUGGGUUUGGUUGGAGGUGAGGUGGUGAAUUGGUUGAUGAUUGUUGUUGUUGCGAGUGGAAACAGGGGAAGGGCGUGGUUCAGGUGGUUGCGGUUUUGUGUGGUGGUGGUAGAAUAGGGGAGAAUUGCGGUUAUUGGUGUUGGUGGGCUGAUUGGAGUUGCGGCUGGCAGUUGGUGAAUUGGGGGAAAGCAGUGGUGGACUGGUGGUUUGCGUGGUGGUGGUAGUGGCUGCUGUUAAAGGUGGCUGAAGGUGGAGGUUGGUGAUUUGAGUGGCUGAAGGUGGUGGUUGGUGAUUUGAGUGGCUGAAGGUUGUGGUUUGCGGCUGUUGUGGUUGAGUGUGGUGGAGAUGGAAGCAGGGGAGAUGUGUUUUGGUUGUGUUGGUGUGUAGGGUAAGGUGAAGUGUGGUGAAGGUUUAGGGGCAGCAGCUUGUAAGACAUUUUGUUGAACUUGAUUGACUCGGGUCCCGAACUUCCAAUGCAAACCAUUUGACUUUGAAACAUAAGGUUCUGGAUGGGUGUGGCUCGCACUUGACACACAGUCGAAGAAGCUUCUUGUUGAAACCACUCCAAAUCAGGUUUAAAGGAAGUUGUUCAAACAGACAAGGCUCCUGCGGCAUUGGGACCAUAUUCUCAAGCCAUUAAAGCAAACAACAUGCUCUUUGUAUCUGGUGUUUUGGGUCUUGUGCCUGAGACGGGAAAUUUUGUAUCAGAAAAUGUGGAGGAACAAACUGAGCAGGAUUUUUGUCCAAGGACCGCCCCGUAUGAUGUCGACGACUUGAAUGUGGUUCGAGAACAAUGGGUGCAAUACUUUAGAAGUAAAUAUUUAUUGAAUGCAUAACUAUUAGCUUAGGUAGAACAACGCAAUAUUUUUAGUGUUGUUGUAUAUGUUGGAUAAAUUUAUACAAGUUUUUAUUUGUAAUAUGUUACUAUUUCAGUUUUUAUAUUACGUCGUAUUAAUUUUUACGAAA